rnacentral:ncRNA from 1 species
CCCUAGCGGGAAGCUGAGAUGCGCGGCUAAACCUUUCGGUCGCCGUAGGUCGCGCGGAGCAAUGGCGAGCCCGAUCCCGUUGCAG